rnacentral:rRNA from 1 species
GACGAACGCUGGCGGCGUGUUUGACACAUGCAAGUCGAGCGAUGAAGCUCCUUCGGGAGUGGAUUAGCGGCGGACGGGUGAGUAACACGUGGGUAACCUGCCUCAUAGAGGGGAAUAGCCUUCCGAAAGGAAGAUUAAUACCGCAUAAGAUUAUAGUUUCGCAUGAAACAGCAAUUAAAGGAGUAAUCCGCUAUGAGAUGGACCCGCGUCGCAUUAGCUAGUUGGUGAGGUAACGGCUCACCAAGGCGACGAUGCGUAGCCGACCUGAGAGGGUGAUCGGCCACAUUGGGACUGAGACACGGCCCAGACUCCUACGGGAGGCAGCAGUGGGGAAUAUUGCACAAUGGGGGAAACCCUGAUGCAGCAACGCCGCGUGAGUGAUGACGGUCUUCGGAUUGUAAAGCUCUGUCUUCAGGGACGAUAAUGACGGUACCUGAGGAGGAAGCCACGGCUAACUACGUGCCAGCCGCCGCAGUAAAAC